rnacentral:rRNA from 1 species
GAUAGGAAUAGGCAAAGGAACCCGCAAGGAAGGGGUGGUGAGUGAGGGUUAGAGAGUGUCUCGGUACCGACGGUGUUUAGAUAACGCAAUGAAGGUGGCCGGAGGAGGAGAUGGGUCGAGGAGCGUCGACUGGGUGGCCGUUUCGAGCGACGUCGCACGAAGGCAACCCCGGAGGAGGAGAUGGGUCGAGGAGGAAACGACUGGGUGGCCGUUCCGACCUACGCCCCGCGACGGCCACGAACCACAACCAGCAAAUCCACCACGUGCCAUCCUCGCCCCUCUGAUACACGACGCGCGCCGGCCCUGCCGCGACGGCGUACGGACGUCUUAGCGCUCGCUGCCCCUCGCGAUUCUAUCCAACGACCUUGGUGAAGUAAAAAACGACCUUGGAAAAAAAAUAAAACGACGUUAACUAUCCAACUACCACGGCAGCGACGGCACUGAAGAAAACGAUGUAGUUAAAACAACAAUCUUGGUGUAGACUAAAAACGACCUUGGUCGAGGACUGAAACGACGUAAUCCGCUUUUACCACCACCCGACGCUACCGUCACGGGCGGUACAAGAUAAAAACGACCUUGGUGAAUUCUAAAAACGACCUUGGGGAAAAGGAAAAACGAUGUUUAGCCCCUACGACCUUUGCCCCUGUAGCCCCUACGACCUUGGGCACCACAAAAAACGACGAUGGUCGACAUUAAAAACGACCUUGACCACACAAGAAAAAGGAACCUAGCCACAGCCGCCACUAAAAGACGACCUUGGUUCAAGAUAAAAACGACCUUGGUCACUAUACAAAACGACGAUACCCUCCUUAAAACACGACCUUGACCACAAAGGAAAUGAACUUAACCACGGUCGCCACUUAAAACAACCUUGGUUCUACAAACAAAACGACCUUUGUAUCUACACAAAACGACGGUGGCUGCCAUUAAAAACGAUGUACCAUGAUGGUAGCAGAAACUUAAAACGACCUUGGUUCUACAACAAAACGACCUUUGUCUCUACACAAAACGACGAUGACUGCCAUUAAAAACGAUGCACCAUUAUGGUAGCAGAGACUUAAAACGUCCUAGGUCAUGAGAAAAAAACCAUGGUAACGAAACAAAAAACGACUUUGGUUUACUAAAAAAGCGAUGGUGACAGAAACUCAAAACGACCUUGGUUUACUAAAAAAACGAUGGUAACAGAAUCAAAAACGUCCUUGAUCGUGGAUAAACAAGAUGAUGGUAGAAACCUAAAAAACAACCUUGGCAGCAGCUAAAACGAUGUUGGCCGUUUACAAAAACGAUGCAGGUAAGUACUGCUUCUAAUCGAUGUAGGAAAAAAAGUACCACAAAGACGUCCGAGCUGCUUCUAAUCGACGCCCGCCCCCACCGGCCGUUCGUGCCCGCCGCGCCCCCACCGGCCGUUCGUACCCGCGCUCGCGCCCCCACCGGCCGCUUGUGCCCGUGCUCGUGCCUGCCGCGCUCACACCGGCCGCUCGUACCCGCGCUCGUGCCUGCCGCGCUCCCACCCGCUCGUGUCCGCGCCUACGUCUGCCGCGCUCCUACCGGUCCCUCGUGCCCAGGCUGGCACCCGCCGCGUCCCACCUGCCGUUCGUACCUAACGCGCUCUGUCCGCCGCUCGUACCUCUAGAAGGAAAAAAGAAAAAAGAAGUGCGCACACACUUUCCCUCUUCAGCUGAGUUAGCGCGAUAGGUCUGGCAAAUAAACAUGCCCUAGGUUGCGGACCGUCGCCUGGCCGGCUUUGAAGCCGGCCACGCGGCCGCGGAUCGUCGUACGUAUGUAGCAUAAGCUGAUUUCUCCGCCGCACCACGUAAUAUGGCAAGCGCUCGACUAGGAUCGUUUACUCCACUAGCUCACACAACGUCAAACAGUUGAUGCACCGGACUACGUGUAACUAGCAAGUUAAAUUGUGUUUAACUUAUGUCAAUCCUCUAUGUAGUGACUAGAGGUUGCUUACCAACCAGGUCUAAAUGUGGAACGAACAGUGGUACAGGGUAUCACAUAAAAAAAAUGGAAAUAUCGUGAAAGAUGUAUGUUUACUUUUUGUUUAUGUCACAACUACAUCCAAUGCUCGAAUUUACGUACUUGUACACCUCUACUCACUGCUAGCAACAACUUAUCAGUUGCCAAUCCUCUUCAACAAUAGAGGUAUUAAAGAGAUACGCCUAAACGAUUAAAAGUAUACUCCUACUUUAUUAUCAAAAAAA